rnacentral:rRNA from 1 species
UUUGCCUACGGGAGGCAGCAGUGAGGAAUAUUGGUCAAUGGGCGGGAGCCUGAACCAGCCGAGUCGCGUGAGGGAAGACGGUCCUAUGGAUUGUAAACCUCUUUUGUCGGGGAGCAAAGAGAUCACGUGUGGUCAAAAGCGAGAGUACCCGAAGAAAAAGCAUCGGCUAACUCCGUGCCAGCAGCCGCGGUAAUACGGAGGAUGCGAGCGUUAUCCGGAUUUAUUGGGUUUAAAGGGUGCGUAGGCGGGACGGGAAGUCAGCGGUAAAAAUGCGGAGCUCAACUCCGUCGAGCCGUUGCAACUGC